UAUGUAGAUGCCUACAAUGUUAAUGCAUCAGAUCUCAUUAUAUCUCCACAGUUAAGUAUGCUUGGGCUAGAGUAGUACUAGAAUGGGUGACCUCUCGGGAAGUCCUAGUGUUUUACAUGC
rfam:Picea glauca, whole genome shotgun sequence.